UACGAAGGGGGCAAGCGUUGUUCGGAAUGACUGGGCGUAAAGAGCUCGUAGGCGGUUUGUCGCGUCUGCUGUGAGAACCCGAGGCUCAACCUCGGGCCUGCAGUGGGUACGGGCAGACUAGAGUGCGGUAGGGGAGAUUGGAAUUCCUGGUGUAGCGGUGGAAUGCGCAGAUAUCAGGAGGAACACCAAUGGCGAAGGCGGCAUCCUGGACCGGCAUUGACGCUGAGGCGCGAAAGCCAGGGGAGCAAACGGG
rnacentral:rRNA from 1 species